GACAGACGCACAUUCACUCUUCCGAGAUGGCAUGCAAUCUACUGAGACAUUGCAAAUUGUGUAAUUUAUCAACAAGAAUAGUGAAUUCAUUGACUUCAAGGAAUUUACAUUCUAGUAGUAAUGAAAAAGCAGACAUUGUUAUAUCUGGCGGAGGAAUGGUCGGGACUGCAAUGGCAUGUGCCCUAGGGCAUACUGAUUUCCUGCAGGAUAAAAAGAUAAUACUUCUAGAAUCUGCUCCCGAGAAGAAAGAUUUUAAACUGAGUGAACGCUAUAGUAACAGAACGUGUGCCAUUAGUCCAGCUACAGUUGGCUUAUUUCAGAAUAUAGGAGCAUGGGAUGAGAUUUUACAAAUGAGAUGCCAGCCUGUCAAACGAAUGCAGGUGUGGGAAUCCUGCUCUGACUCAGUGAUCACAUUUAAUGAUGAAGAACUGAUGAACGACCUGGCCUACAUUGUGGAGAAUGACGUGAUACUAGAAGCCAUCAGGAGACAGCUGUCGUCUCUCUCAGACAGAGUGGAGGUGCGGUACCAAACCUCAGCGAAAUCUUACAUAAUACCUGGCUCCACCCCUGGUCACGAUAAUGUGGACCAAAACACCUGGGUCACCAUAGAAACUGACAAAGGACAAAAAAUUCAAACCAAAUUACUGAUUGGUGCAGAUGGCAUGAACUCGGCUGUAAGGAAGGCCGGGAAAUUCCAUGUGUUUCAACAAGACUAUAAACAGCAGGCAGUGGUAGCCACUCUGGAGGUCUCGGGGACAUCAGACAAUAGUGUGGCAUGGCAGAGGUUUCUCCCAACAGGACCAAUAGCCAUGUUACCAUUAUCCAGCAAUUACAGUUGUCUGAUUUGGACAACCAGUCCAACCAAGGCCAAAUACCUCAAAGAUUUACAAGACGACAACUUUGUUGAUGCAGUCAAUGAUGCAUUUUGGCAUGAAAGGGACAAGGAUUCAACAGUCAUGUCAAUCUCCCAGAAAUAUCAAGAACUUCUCAACUAUGUUUUUAGUGGUAAGUCACAGGAUUACAUGUACAUACAUGCGUCUCUGACUCUCUGCAGAUUACAAUUUGGUACAAUUAUUUCAUUAUUAAAAGCAAAGUUGUAGUCAAGAGUCAGUAAUUUUCUUGGGGUUUCCUUUGGUCUGUAGAUAACCAGGUGGUACGCCAGUUACCGCCCACAGUGGUAGGAGUGGAUCCAGGAAGUCGCGCCUCAUUCCCUUUGUCACUCAACCACUCCUCAAACUAUGUCAAACCUCGAGUCGCUCUCAUUGGAGACGCUGCACACAGACUUCACCCACUGGCCGGUCAGGGAGUCAAUCUCGGGUUUGGUGACGUCAGUUGUCUUAGUCAGGUGUUAAAUGAAGCUGUCCAGUCAGGAUCAGAUGUAGGCAGCCUGUAUUACCUAUCAAAGUACGAGACAGAAAGACAGAGGGCAGUGCUACCAGUUGUCAUGACGAUACAUGGUUUACACCACCUUUACAAUACCGACUUUUCUCCAGUGGUUCUCCUGAGGAGUUUGGGGCUUCAGUCAACCAAUGCAUUACAGUUUGUAAAGAACAAAAUAAUUCAGCAGGCGUCUUCAUGAAAUAAGAAACAAGGCGGGUUAAGAUCUCACAGACUUUUAAUAAACAAACUAAAACAUAGCUUUGUCUCCGCCACAGUAAUAAAUUAUUAAUACACAGCAAAGCAUAGAAAAAUUGUUAUGCUUGAUGUUGUAACCUCUAACAUGCAACAAAUCUGAAGUAUUCUUGUAAAUUUUAGUUAAGAUUUGUAAAAUUAUAGCCACUAGUACAAUGCACUGAGCUACUGACACAAUGGGACUGUUAAUUAGAUUCCAUCCUGGUUACAAUAUCGCAACAACAAUGGAGACGAUGAAUCGGAUGUGACCAAUGGUACAAUGGAUAUUAAUUAUGUCUUCCCACGUAACAAUCACUGAGGUAUAGAAUUUCACCAGGCUUACUUCUGCAGAAAGCUGUGUCUGUCUGGAAUAUACCCAAUAAACAUUCAUCUUAUAAAUGUAUUAAAAUACAAUUUGUAAUACAUUUUUGAUUUAAGAUUACAAUAUGUAUGGAUUUUACUGUGUUUUACUGGUUUAUAUACAGAACAAAAAUUUCACAAUUACAUGCAUUUUGAUAAAAACUAUUCUUUGUUUAUUUCCUUUCAAAUAAAAUUUUAAAAAAAU
rnacentral:misc_RNA from 1 species